rnacentral:tRNA from 1 species
GAUUUUAUAGUUAAAUUUUAUAACAUUAGAAUGCAAUUCUAAAUUUAUACAAAAUUAUUGUAUUAAGAUUU